AGGCUGAUGGAGUGGUGACGGAGUGGAUUGACAACUGUAGUUUCUCCACUCAGUGCAGAAUGGCUGCAGGGAACAAAUGCAGACAUGCCCAGAGAAGUCUGCCCAGGGUGAAACAGAUAUCUUUGAGGUUUAAAUCAGAAAGGAAGGAGAGGCUGUUUCUACAGGUGUCAUAGAAAAAUCAAUGCUGAGCCACGGAUUACUGGGUCCCAUAGAACCAUGGACACAUGGCAGUGAAAUUCUUCUCAAGCAUUCUAUCCACGCAGGCAGGCGGUGUUCCUAGGUCUGGAAGGAUAAAUCCCAGGGGAAGUGAGCUGCAGAACAUUUUAUGCAUCACUCAUUCUAUUAUGAGCCCUCUGCUGCUCCAUCUCUACAAGACUGGCUGAACCCACGACAAUAACAAUUGUUUACAAUUAUCUAGUUAAUACCCUAACUCUGAUUAUUUUGAACACAAUGUCCUAUAAGAAAGACUAUUUGAAUGAUUUUACUGCAUUAGUAAUAAAACAACAAAGAAAAAUGAAACAUUCUGAAUGUACCAUCUGAUGAGCUGACAGUGAAAGAACAGAAACCGAGCAAUAAGACUGCACGGCUACGUUUUCCAGAGCCACCAGCUGGGAGUUAAGUUGACUAAGGUUGUGAAAGCCCAGCCCAUUUGGAUCACAGCAGGCAUGGCAGCGGUUGACUGAUUGUACCCGCCAGCUGGCUAAUAUCAUAAUUAACAAAGUUGCUACUACGUUGGCAAAGUUUAAUCGAAAAAUUUGCCAGUGAUAUGAUGGCAUUGUCACAAAGAUCACAAGGGACACGGAGCCCACUUCUGCUCAAGGUGGAACGGCAAAGCUGUGUAUGCAAGCGGAGAAAUCGCAAACUUGUUCAGCCAAAGGUUAUGCUUCAUAUCACCCACCAGGGAGGAUCAUCGCUCAUGAAAACUUUUAAAUUUGAUUUUGAAAAUUAUUCAGAAAAAUUUAAGCGAUGCUCUCUUCCAAUGUAAGAAAGAAUAUGCUCUAGAGAUUCUUAUAAUUCAAAGAAAAUGGAUCGGUAGAGCAUUUGGGUUCUCAUGCUGCCAAAAUCCUCUUGAGCAGGAGGCUAAUAAUGAAGGGGCCAGGGAAGGAGGCCAGUGCUACGAGGGUUAUCUCACAGCCUCAGAUGCUGGAUAAGUCGAACGAGGCAGAAUCGCGUUUGGAUGACAUUCAGAAAGGCCGGAGUGAUUAUUUGGAAGAGAAAAGCCUGCCUAUUCUUUCCCAAGGUGUGUGAAUAUCCCCCUGGCCUGCCGGUCCAGCAAUGAAUUACUAGACAAAGGAUGCGCCCGGAACCCCACCACACCUAAAGCCACGCUUUGGAGGAUCUGCCAAGCUCACUUUUAAUCAUGAGAAAGAAAUUACCCACAUGGAGUCAGCAGAAAAUGAGAAAGUAGAGCUCGUGGUGCUCCGAGUAAUUCCAGCAAGUGCCAAGGGGCUAGUUGAGGAAUGGCUUCAUGAGGAAAACUAUUGAUAGCCCACCAGACUGGGAGGCAGCAUUCAGUUCUCCUAUGCCUUCUUUCUCCUGGUGUGGUCUUUCUUCUGAAACAAAGAAGACAUUGUCAAAUCAGACUUGCCCUCUUGGAAAUGUGGUCCAGAUUGCUCUACUCCCAAGCUCCAAAAAAAGGUAUACAUAGGUUGGACUAACUAAAGACCUCCUCAGGUCUAUAAAUCUACUCUGAGAUGUUUUCCACUUAUGGGUAUACUGUAGUCUAGAAAUACCUGUUGUCAGAGGAAAGAAGAAGGGCUUUGGAGUGGAGUUGGGUUCUAAUCUCUCUGCCACUCCAACUUUAUGCCCUGGGCAAGUCAUUUAAACUCUAUGAGUCUAUCUUUAAAAUGGGGAGAAAAAUACAACUUGCAAAAUUGUUGUAAGGAUUAAGUGAAAUAAUGCAUACAGUGCCUAACAAAUUAUUUAGCAUGUUUAAAAAAAAACACAAACAAAAAAAACCUCAUAAAAUAUUGUUUUUUUUUCCCUUCCUCUCUCUCUCUCUCUCUUCCCUCUCCCAUUUCUUUCUCUCUCCUUCUUAUGUCCUCUCCUACCUUGAGAUGUUAGUCUAACAAUGAAGAAUGUCUACUUGCAAGUUCUUUCUAUAUGUGCCUUAAAUAUCUUAGUUGGGUUAAUAGUUUAAUUUUUUAAUUGAACUGUUUUC